rnacentral:sRNA from 1 species
ACUCAUCAAUAUCAGCUUCGGCAAGAACACUGCGAUCGAAAACCAUAGUCAGGAAGUCAGGUCCAGAGGCUAUCAAAGAACCUAAUUCCCAAAACCCAUGAUCUGCUACACGGCGGACAAUGUCAAGUGAUAAUAGGUUUCUAGUCAAUUAUCCUAAAACAUCAAUCAUGUCGUUGUAGUAUUUUAGGUUGUCAAUCCAAAUGGAUGUGAUGCUAGCAAUCAAGAUGCAAUCAGAGUUCACAGAAUCAAGCCAAGCAAUAACAGGUUUUGGGGUGUUCUAGCAGUCCUAAGUGAACAUGCAGGAAACAGAAAAUCUAGAAGAAUAGAAAAGCACUCGACCAACACAGCUUGUUGCCAAGCCCUGGGUGUGGUCGAGUGAUAGGUCGACUAAUAGACAGAAAAUGUAACAAGGAUACUCAACUGCACAGUCUAUUUCCAGACAACUGGGUGGUCGAGUAUCAGGUCUAGUAACAGGCAAAAAUAGUAAAAACUAAGCAACAUGUAACAAGAUGCAGUAAACAAGUGAUGAGGAAUUCCCGAGGAUGGGGUAAUUGAGUAGUUUCGUUUCCUCAGUUUACAAGUGAUUGGCAUGCUCAAUAAAUUAUCCCUAGACAACAAGUUUGAUAACCAAAUCUAAGUGCCACCGCAACAGAGACCCUCAAGUUAAACCAGUCCCAAACUCAAUCACCAUUGACAAAAGCUAACCUAACAGGCAUUACGAAUCAACAAGUUGAAGCCAAAACGCUCCCUGCAACCAAUACCUUGGUACAGAGCCACGAAUCUAUGGAAUAAGUGUUCAGACAUUUCAUCGAACAACUUUUGGGCGCGGAAAUGUAUGGGCUCAAAUUCUAGUUGAUCAGAAAGCAAUAGGCAUUAAGAACAACUAAUCUAGAAGGGAUCUAUAAAUCAAACUCAACCACCUACCAUAAUGAGAAUUCUAAACUUCUCUAACCCAUCCUCAGAAACCUAGUCAGUACCCAUACAUCAUUGGAGAGAACAUAAACGAUGAUAAGAAUGAAAACAUGAUAGCAACAGAGUAAUAGUAGGAUAUAACAGGAUGAACAACUUAGUAAACGAAAUCAAAAGCAAAUACUGAAUAGAUUAAGAGAAAUUCAGAUUACAAAAAGGUCAAGAACACAGUGUCUGCGGAAUAAAACUUAGUU